ACUCCUACGGGAGGCAGCAGUGGGGAAUAUUGCACAAUGGGGGAAACCCUGAUGCAGCCAUGCCGCGUGUGUGAAGAAGGCCUUCGGUUGUAAAGCACUUUCAGUAGGGAGGAAGGUAGUGUAGUUAACACCUGCAUUAUUUGUACGUUACCUACAGAAGAAGCACCGGCUAACUCCGUGCCAGCAGCCGCGGUAAUACGGAGGGUGCGAGCGUUAAUCGGAAUUACUGGGCGUAAAGCGCAUGCAGGCGGCCUGUUAAGUCAGAUGUGAAAGCCCGGGGCUUAACCUCGGAAUUGCAUUUGAAACUGGCAGGCUAGAGUCUUGUAGAGGGGGGUAGAAUUUCAGGUGUAGCGGUGAAAUGCGUAGAGAUCUGAAGGAAUACCAGUGGCGAAGGCGGCCCCCUGGAC
rnacentral:rRNA from 1 species